GGUAACUAACAGGGGUGGCCGACAAGGUCUGAGAUUAUACCCUUUGAACCUGAUCCGGGUAAUGCCGGCGUAGGGAGAGAAAAAGGUGUAUCC
rnacentral:ncRNA from 2 species